UACGAAGGGGGCUAGCGUUGCUCGGAAUUACUGGGCGUAAAGCGCACGUAGGCGGUCUUUUAAGUCGGGGGUGAAAUCCUGGAGCUCAACUCCAGAACUGCCUUCGAUACUGGAAGACUUGAGUCCGGGAGAGGUGAGUGGAACUGCGAGUGUAGAGGUGAAAUUCGUAGAUAUUCGCAAGAACACCAGUGGCGAAGGCGGCUCACUGGCCCGAUACUGACGCUGAUGCACGAAAGCGUGGGGAGCAAACAGG
rnacentral:rRNA from 1 species